rnacentral:rRNA from 1 species
GUUAUAAGAUCCCUCAAAGAUGAUGAGGUUAAUAGGUUCGAGGUGGAAGCAUGGUGACAUGUGGAGCUGACGAAUACUAAUCGAUCGAAGACUUAAUCAAAUU